UGAACCUGCCGGACCUGACUGCUAUCGGAUUGAUACUAAGCCAUGCGAGUCAUUGUAGCAAUACAAGGCAGACGGCUCAGUAACGCGUAGUCAACCUAACCUAUGGACGGGAAUAACCUCGGGAAACUGAGAAUAAUGCCCGAUAGAGCACUAUACCUGGAAUGGUUUGUGUUCCAAAUGAUUUAUCGCCGUAGGAUGGGACUGCGGCCUAUCAGUUUGUUGGUGAGGUAAUGGCCCACCAAGACUAUUACAGGUACGGGCUCUGAGAGGAGUAGCCCGGAGAUGGGUACUGAGACACGGACCCAGGCCCUAUGGGGCGCAGCAGGCGAGAAAACUUUGCAAUGUGCGAAAGCACGACAAGGUUAAUCCGAGUGGUUUCUGCUAAAGGAACCUUUUGUCGGUCCUAGAAACACCGAUGAAUAAGGGGUGGGCAAGUUCUGGUGUCAGCCGCCGCGGUAAAACCAGCACCUCAAGUGGUCAGGAUGAUUAUUGGGCCUAAAGCAUCCGUAGCCUGCUUUGUUAGUUUUCGGUUAAAUCUAUACGCUCAACGUAUAGGCUGCCGGGAAUACUGCAAAGCUAGGGAGUGGGAGAGGUAGACGGUACUCGGUAGGAAGGGGUAAAAUCCUUUGAUCUAUUGAUGACCACCUGUGGCGAAGGCGGUCUACCAGAACACGUCCGACGGUGAAGGAUGAAAGCUGGGGGAGCAAACCGGAUUAGAUACCCGGGUAGUCCCAGCCGUAAACCAUGCAAACUCAGUGAUGCAUUGGCUUGUGGCCAAUGCAGUGCUGCAGGGAAGCCGUUAAGUUUGCCGCCUGGGAAGUACGUACGCAAGUAUGAAACUUAAAGGAAUUGGCGGGGGAGCACCACAAGGGGUGAAGCCUGCGGUUCAAUUGGAGUCAACGCCGGG
rnacentral:rRNA from 1 species